rnacentral:rRNA from 1 species
UACGUAGGCAGCGAGCGUUGUUCGGAGUUACUGGGCGUAAAGAGUGCGUAGGCGGUUCCGCAAGUUUGUCGUGAAAUCUCCCGGCUUAACUGGGAGGGUGCGGCGGAGACUGCGGAGCUGGAGUGUGGGAGAGGUAAGCGGAAUUCCUGGUGUAGCGGUGAAAUGCGUAGAUAUCAGGAGGAACACCGGCUGUGUAGACGGCUUACUGGACCAUGACUGACGCUGAGGCACGAAAGCGUGGGGAGCAAACAGG